rnacentral:lncRNA from 1 species
UAUAGAUAUCUGAAAUUUUAUCCGAACUUAAAUCCGACGGAGUAGAUUUAUCUGAUACUAAAUGGAUAUAGUUUCGGAUAUGCAUAUCAAAAAUAAAAAUCUGACGGAUUUGAAUUCAGAUAUGAAUUUUAAUUGCACCCGAACCCGAACUCGAGCCCGAGCCGAACCCGAACCCAAGCUCCAGCCAAACCUGAAAUUAUUUUACAUUAUAUAUAUAUAUAUAUAUAUAUAUACUAUAUAUAAAAACACGUAUAUCAUUAUUGUUAAUUAUUUAUCAUUUAAAGCAUAUCUUUCUUAAUAGCGUGAUUUAUUAUUUUAAAUUUUUUAGAUAUAUAUUUGGCAAUCAUAUAAAAUAUAGCCUAAAAUUAAAAAAUAAUUUAAAAAAAUUAUAACCUUUUCUAAUAAUUAUUACGUGUAUAUAUAUAUAUAUAUAUAUAUAUAGAACUAGGCUACUAUGCUAUUAAUAGCACCAAGUCACUGAUGCUACCAAGUUUUUGGCCAUUGGAUUAAGAGAUAUGCGGUUAGGAUGAUGUGGAGAGAGAGAGAGAGAGAGAGAGAGAGAGAGAGAAAGAGAUGAGCUGGAAUGCUAUUAGUAGCAAAUGGGCUCUGUUGCUAUUCAUUUGUUUUCGAUGAUAAAGCCUUUAAAUUGACGAUCGGCACUGUUGAACAUAAUGUAUACUACUUGAAGCAUCUAGAAAUCAAAUUUCAAAUCUUUUUGACAUUAUUGACCUAAUAAUCAAAUGGUUUCAAAUUUUAUAAUUUUAAUGGUAGAUAUGAGGCAUUUUCUUGUUUAACGGUGUAAAGCUAUUCAAAUCAAUUGAAUUUUGGUUAGAAAUUAUUUAAACUAUUUAGAACAAAAUCUAUACUCUCGAUCUUGAUUAGAAAAUUCCUAUCAUCACUUUUUAGAGGAUAUUUAUUUUCAGUCGUUCAUUUUUACGUCUACUUGAUGAUUAAGAGAACAAUAUCAAAAAAUCAUGAAAUUUGAUUUCUAAAUACUCAAAGUAGUAUAGAUCAUGUUCAAUAGUGCCGAUCGUUGAUUUGGAGGCUCCAUUAUCGAAAACAAAUGAGUGGCAACAGAGCUCGUUUGCUAGCGAUAGUAUUCCAGUGUAUCAAUUUAGUACCCUAUGAUUUAAAGUGUAUAACUUUUUGUUAAAUUAUGUACGAAAACUUCAAAUACCCCAUUUAUAGUUUAUCGAAGUACCCUUUAGUUUUAACUUUAUCACUCGAUUUAAUAAAAAAAAUUAGUGAAGAUAACAAAAAUAAAAAAAAAUAAAAUCACAUGGUACGAAAGUGAUAAACAUUAUAAUGCAGGGUACUAAAGUGAGAAAUUGCGAAACCACAGGAGUGGUAUUUGAACUUUUUCCUUUUUUUUUUUUUUUGCUUAUUUUUCGUCCCCAAUUAUCAUUCCAUUCAGUAUGGAUCGGAACAGGAAUUCCAUUAAUCCGGAUCCAAUUGCAUGCUUAAAACAAAAUUUUUUUCUAUAAAACUAACUAAUGAUACAUCUUAUAACUAUCAAAAUAACACAAUUUUUCACCGUGCUAGUAUAAAUUUGCGGUCAAUACAUAUCUUCAACUACACAACAACAAAUUUUGUUUUUUAAAAAAAUCUUAGUUUUAAAAAGUUUAUUUCUAGAAAUAAACUAAACAUGCUUAUAUACUUUUCUCUCGAAAAAACCAAAAACAGAAAAACGAAAGAAAGGGUUAAAAAAACCGGAUCUAACCUAAUCGGUUCAGUUCCGGAAAUUAAAAGAUUUCUUUUUCGAUUCAUCUCUGGAGUUGAAUACCUCAUUCAAGAAUUUUUUUUGAUCCAACCCAUAGGAAUCAAUAGAAAAGGCAAGAACUCUUUUUUUCUUUGGGAAAUCAUGGGGGUAUUUGGAUUGGGUAUAAGAGGGGGGACAAAGGGUUAUCCCUCCUCUUGUACCCAAACACCAUUUAAGUGGGUGGGAACAACUUAUUCUCCCGAUUUUUAUUUUAAAUUAAAAUUAAAAUUUUUAAAAUUUAAAAUUUAUAAUCUCAAAAUUAAAAUUUAUAAUUUAAAAUAAUAAAAUUUGAAGUUUAAAUUUUAAAUUUGAUAUUUUUAAUUUUUAAAUUUUAAAUUUGAUAUUUUAGAUCUUUCAAAUUUAAAUUUGUUCUUAAAUUUAAAAUUUGAUAUUUAUAAUUAAUAUUUUUAAAAUUUAAAAAUUAAAAUUAAAAUUAAAAUUUUAAAUUUUAAAAGUUAUAAUUUUAAAUUUUAAAUUUAAAAAUUUAAAUUCAAAAAUUAAAAAUUUAAAUUCAAAUAUAAUGAGAGGGGUAAUAUCAUUAUUUUCUAUUUAUAAUCAUCAACUAUUUCUCUUAUUUUCAAUAACCAUCCAAACACAAUUUUUCUAGUUCUACUUUAUACUCACAUUUUUUCAUUCAAACAAAAAAAUAUUCAUAUUCUUACAAAAAUUCAUGCUUGUACCUAUUCCCGGUAUAACUAGCUCUUCGUUAUAACUAGUUCUUCAAAUAACACCAUGCGUUUCUCACUUUUUCACUUUAGUAUCUCGUAGUUUAAAGUGUAUCAAUUGAGUACCUUAUACUAUAGUUUCGUACUUUCUUACUUUAGUACCGUGUGAUUUAAAGUGCAUUAAUGUAGUACACUUUAGUUUCUUUUUUUUCUCGGCUUCUCUGUUAAUAUUUUGUUAACUUAUAUAUAAAAAAAAACCUCAUAUACCCUACUUUUAGAUUUUAUUGAAAUUAAUUUUUAUUUUAGUACUCUUUAGUUUUAACUUUGUCACUGAUUUUUUUUUUUCAUCUGUUAAUAUUUCGUUAAAUUAUAUACAAAAAUCUUCAAAUACCCUAGCUAGGUUUAUCGAAUAUUCACUUUAGUACCCUUUAAUUUUAACUAUGUCGCUGAUUUAAUGAAAAAAAUUAAUAAAAUAGAUAAUAAAAAAAGAAAAAUAAAAUCACAGCAGGGUACUAACUUGAUACACUUUAAACUAUAGGACACAAAGUGAGAAAGUGCGAAACUACGGGGGCUAACUUAAUAUACUUUAAACCAUAUGAUACUAAAGUGAGAAUAUGUGAAAGGACAGGGGGUUUUUGAAAUUUACCUUUUUUUUAUGAAAAAAUACCGGUUUAAUAUAAAUAUUGCAUGGUUCGCAAUUCCUCUACAACGAGUAUUAAUCGGGAGGGGGAAGCGCCUAAUCGCCGAUUAAUUCUCACGGAGGCGCGACGCGGCGAUCUUUUUCCGACUCCUCCGCAUUCUCUCUUUAUAAAUACGCAUUAUUAUUCAUCAAUUUAUUUUUAAAUAAAAUCUUAUCUCAAAUUUUUUUAUAUAAAAAAAAUCGAAUAAUCCCUCUCUCUAUCUCUCUCUCUCUUCUCGUUCCCCUUCGUCGUUCUCCUCACGAGUCUUGGUUAGGGUUUCUAGUGUCUUAUAGGGCUUCCUAGGGUUUUUCUGAGGCUUGGUUAGGGUUUCUGGGGUUUUCGUUUCGUCUACUGGGGUUUCUUUGGUCUUCCGGGAGCUAUGUCGACGCCGACUACCCCCGCCGCCGCCGCCUCCUCCACCGCCGUGGCUCCGGCGCAUGAGAUGGCCACGUCGCCGCCGCGGCGCCCGGCGCAGCAGUUGCUCUCCGGCCACGCGCGCCGCCCAAGGUUCGACGGUCGCUCUCCGCCGCCGCUGCCGCCACACUGGAGGGUUCCCUGCGCCGGCCCCUUCUUCGACCCCUACAGCGGAUUCGCAAGCAAUGGCUACGGCGGCGGCGGCGGCGGCGGCGGCGGCUACUUCUCCCCGCUCAAUCGGGGCCCGAUGCUCCCGCCGCCGCCGCCGCCGAACGCGUUCGCCCUAGGGCACAGGUUGCCCCCGCCCGUGCCGUUCGGGCCCCACUUCAGCCUCCCCGCGCCCCCGCUGAUGUUCGAUCACCGCCACCGGAUUCCUCCUUUCGGCGCCAACUUUGCCGCGCCCUUCCCGCCUUUGGAUCCCUUUGGUGCUCCCUUCAAUCCAGGUGAGUAAAAUUUUAAUUAGCGAUCGCUCUGUUUCCUCUCUUAUUUCUGUUCUUUUGUUUUAUUUUGCAUCUAACAUCUUGAGAGAUAAAAAGAUUCUGUUGCAUUAGGUUUUGAUUGUAGUUACAAAACAAUAUCGUUUUGUUUUCUUGGGAAAUCAUGAGUUAUUUAUUUGCUGGUCCAUGAAUAUUCGAAGGAAACAACGGGAAGCUUUGAAUACUCUACGCAUUAUUCCAAAUAUUUAGUAAGUUUGUGAGUAUUUAUAGCCGAAAGAAAUCAUUCAUUGCGUCUUUUACUUUUCUAUGCUCCGUCGAACACAGAAUUAAAUAACAUAAUUAUGCAGGAAACUCUGUUUUUUGUGUAUUUUGAUGUUUCAAUAAUUAUAUUUUACUAUCUGAAUUACUUCUUCUUUUUAAAUUGCGAGUUGUUUGCUACAUUUAGAAUUUAUCAGUUCUUUUCGAUUUAAAAUCCUGAACUUGUGACUAUGGUGCUGUUUACUUUACAGAAGCAAGUGGUUAUAGUAACAACUUUCCUAUAAAUAACCUCGAAACUCCGCCGACUCCAGUUAAUUCCGAGCCAGUUCAAAAGUAUGUGAUUGUUAUUGACGGCAAAGUUGAGAUCGUUGAUCACCCAGAACUACUCAGAAAGCUGCGCCGUCAAGUAGAGUAUUACUUCAGGUUAGUUCUUGCAGAUUCCACUUAACCUUAGUUCUUUUGGGGGUUUACUUACAAAUGUAGUCCCUGAAGUUUGAUCCACAUUUCAAUUUACCGUAGAGUUUUUUAUAAAAUUAUUCUCUGAAGCAUGACUUGACUUUAGUUUCAUCCUCAAAGUUUCAUUUUACGCAAUUUAAUCCCUGAAGUUUGAUCCAGGCUUCGAUUUCGCUUCUUCAUGCUUCAAAUUUAGCAAUGCAAUGUCUAGAAAGAAGUUACUUGGGGAGCAUGAACAGAUGGUCUAAUCACAACCGUUCAUCACAUUCAAUGCAUGAAUAUUUAUGUAGUGAUGGACGGUGACCACCUUUCCGUGAGUUGGCUUCCUAUAUAGUUAUUAUUCCAAUGUUUCACUGUCAUGUUAAAGUCUACUUUUUAGAUAAUAGAUAGCAAAAAAGUUUAAUGUUAUGCAGGAAAACUUCGGAGACUAAAUCUAAUUGUAUGGGUAGGAAAUUGAAAUCAAGGUCAAAUUUCACAAAUUAUGUUUGUAUUUAGCCAUCUCUUGGUUUCCUUUAGCUUCUAAUUGUUAACUCCUUUUGAUCGCGGAUGCUUUUCUGUUUAUGUUUAGUGAUGAAAACUUGGUCGACGAUUGGUACUUGAAGUCAAUAAUGGAUAGUGAAGGAUGGGUAACCGUGAGAGAAAUUGCAGAUUGCGUAAAGAAGUUCGUACGAAUCUUUGCACUUUUUUGAAAUUUUAUAUGAAUAAUUGUAGGAUUCUAUUUUGGCGAAGUAUUUUUCAAAAUUACAGUGGUAGAAGAGAUUUACGUUGAAUUUACUUGUCAUAUAUGCCUGUAACUUAUUUCAAAAUUAAUGUCAGGUACUAACAUAGAAAUUUUACAGAUCCCCGUUAUGCCAAGGAAUUACUGUUUUCAUUUUUUAUAUAUUUUGUAUAUUAAAAGAAAUCCUGUUGAUUGAGCUGUUACAUAUUUUCUGUAUUCUCUACAGGUUUUUCUAACUGGUUUAUUGAUUUGCAAUCGAUAUCUGAAAUAUUCCAAAUUCAUUUUGAUUUUGUGCCAAUUUGCGGAAACUUUUUGAUUGUUACCCCAUCACAAAUCCAGCAAGUUGAUGACAAUAGCAAGUGGCUAAAGGCACUUAUUUUUUUAUCACUGUCCAUUAACAUUUUGCGAAGGUUAAAUUAAUUUCAUUCCACCUUUUUUUUUUUUUAAGUGUAAUACGAAGCCAAUGUCCUGUGUCAAUAAGCCAAGAAAUUAACUUGCAUAAGGAAGAUGGCAAACUAAUUAUCAGACUUUAUUUUAUACAUCUAUAAAGCAGUGAUUUGUUGCGGGGCUAAAUAUUGUAUAAGUGAUUUUCAUAACCCUGCCAUCUGUCUGAAAAAAUUCAGAAAUUUCUUAAUCUUAGAUUCGGGUGCUUUUUGCUUCCAAACCUGUCGUUCCGAGCACCUCCCUAUUGAAUUAUCCCCAGUUAUCUUAAUUGCUGGGCAAUCGCUUCUGAAUUAAAUAACAUUGAUAUUCAAUAUUGCAGGUAGAUAUUAUAUAGAUUUUUUAGCAAGCUUUAUGUAUAUCUAAAGCUAACAUAUAACAGGUAUUUUAUGAUGGAAUCACAUUUGCUUCAUGUGUAUUUCACAGGUUAUUUUACGUUGACGAAAAUUUAAUGUUUGUUCCAGCUAUCUUAGGGGAAGGCGCUAGUGACCUCCGAAUCAAUGUUGAGAUCCAGGAUAAGUGACAAAGUAUCCUAUUUUUCUUGUCCUGUUUGUCUUGACACUUUAAAUUUAGUACGUGCGAUCAGGAGUUUUGCAAUUUAUCUUUUCUGAGAACUUCAUCCUGUUAACCUAUUUAGUUGACAAUCUAUGUCCUUUACGAUUAGCGAGAAACAAAUUUAAGGCCUUAAGUCCAUGAAAGCUUAUUCUUCUCCUAUUGACUUCUGCUAAUUGAGUAUUCGAAGACCCCUUAAGAGUAACAAUUGCAAAUUUUUUUUUGUUGGGUUAUUUCAUGACAUGAUCCUGCAAAUAUAGACAAUAUAUUAAUUCCCUCACAAAAUUCAACUUUCAUAUGUUGUUUCCUACGCAAACAUCUAAUGUUUUUCAAAUAUGUCCCCUCUGAUUGUUUACGUUAGAGAACCAUUUAUAUUUUCUAAUUUUGUCAUCAACAAUAUACUUCACCUCGCAAAAGCCAUAUAGUAUAAUAUAAAGGAUAAAAUGUCAAAAACUAACUAGAGUCUAAGCAUUUAACCUAUGGUUAUUAAACUUUUCUACGGAUUUUAAACGGCAAGAGAUAUUGAAAAGCAUCAGGACUUUUUGGCAGGGAAAACAUAUAAACAGGUUGAUUUUAUAAGGAUUCAUUCUUUUUUGCUAUUUUACUUUAUUGUUUUGUAGGAUCAUAAACAUGAUAAUUAACCUUUUUUUGACGUUGAUUGGUUCUGUUUGAUUUUUCUAUGAUUGGCAUAUUUUGAGUGAUUGAUCAAUAAUGUUUCUUACGCUGCAGGAGGGGACAAGAUGCGAAGAGUGUUGUUUGUCCCACGACCUCCGGACCAAGGCCAAUACCUGCUCCUGGUCCAAUAAAUGCGAAGAAACUGUGCAGGUAAAUACUCAUUUUCUUCUUUCUUCUUUUUUUCCUGGAUAAUUGAAAAAAGGACAAUACACGAGUAACUAUUAUAUACAAGUGUUCGUCACUACUAUAAGUCAUUUUAGUGAAUAUAUAGUGCGGUUUUUAGUUUCUACUUUGAUCAGCACGCCCCUUAAGCUUUAUCCACUUCGAACAUACAUACACGUAGCGAAUAACCAAAGCGAAAAGUUAAGGCGGUGCUGCUUAUCAAAAUAAUUUAAACUAAAUCUAAAAUGACUUUUAGUUGUUGAAGGGUCUUCUUAGCGAACUAGAUGUUAUGUCUGGGAACAUUAUACCCGUAGCCGUCAAUGCGAAGAGUCGUGUCGCAGGUUCACCUUAGCAUUAUUAUUCUCUGUUCUCUAAAAUCGCACUGCAUUGAGUGGAAGAGAACAUUUACAAAUUUAAAUUAAAACUAAUCUAGAAUGACUUGAGUCGUCUAAGCGAACUAGAUGUUAUGGUCAGGGAACAGUUAUAGGUAUGAUUGCGUUUUUCCAGGCGAUGAGUCCGAGCGUAGGGUUUUGAUCAUUAGAUAUUAUUCUUCCCUGUUCUCCGAAUCACUGCAUUGGGUGAUGAGAAAUUAGAAGGGGAGUUGUGUGAAAAAUUUUGGCCAUGUUUGAUAUAUAUACAAAAAAAAAAAAAAAAAAAAAUAUAUACUAGUAUAUAUAUAUAUUCCUUAUUAUAUAUUUCAUAUAAUAUACGUAGUCCGCUACUAUGCUACGUAGCACGGAGCGCUCUGUGCCUACUUGAAGUUUGUUUUUCUGAUGAUGGCGGCUUGCCAAAUCGAUCGAUCGCUCCCGUGUUAGGUAUGAAUCACCACCUAUUGAUUAAAGUAUUGGAACUGCGUUUUAAUAUUUCAAAUUUUUUCGACAUCCAUUUGAUUCCUUAGUGAUCAAAAGAUCUCAAAAUUGACAAUUUUAAUGGCCGAUGUGGUGUGUUUGUGAGUUUAACGGUGUAAAACAAUUCAAAUGCGAUGAAAAUUUUAUAGAAAAUUUUUUUCACUAUUUAGAGUAAAAUCAGUAUAUCUGAUCUUGAAUUUAAAUCUUUUGUCAUCAUUUUUUAUGAGAUUUUUAUUUUCAGCCGUUCAAUUUUAGACUACUUGUUUGAUAGGUAAAUGAUAUCGAAAAAUUAUGAAAUUUAGUUUCUAAAUACUUUCAAUAGUGUAGAUCAACUCUAACGGAGCCGAUCGUCGAUUUGGAAGCCGCAUCAUCGAAAACAACUUGGUAGCACGAAGCGCUCUGUGCUACCGAUAGUAUAGUAGCCUAGCUCUCUCUCUCUAUAUAUAUAUAUAUAUUUAUGAUUAGUUGCUAUUAUUUUGACUGACUUGUUUGGAUAGCAAGGCCACAAUAUUACUUAUUUUAAAGUUGGUAAUCGUUUUAUUGAGUCUCAAGUUAACUUCAAUCUUACCAGAUUACUUCUUUUUCACAUGGCUUUAUCUGCGCUUUUCGGCUUCUCUAUUCAGGAUUUGUCCUCUUUAGAGUUGUUUUGCUGAUGCUGCUAAAUUUUUGGGUGAUGUUAUUUAUUGAGCUAAUUUGAAUAUUGAUAGAUUGAUUGAUCACUAGUCAUUCGUUGAUGUAAAUUAACCAAAAUUCGAUGAAUCUGAUCUGCCUCUCUGCUCCCAAAUAGUGAUUUCUCUCUCAAAUGCAUUUUAAAAAACUUACUUCCAUAAAAUAUUAGCUUCUUUUUAUAGGAAAAAAGAUUAUAAUAAUCAGAGAGUUUCAACUUUUUGAGAGUAUUCUCAAGUUGGGAAAACUUCAAAAACCCCUCUUAUGGUUUUACUUUUUUUCACUUUAAUACCAUGUGGUUUAAAGUAUAGUUAGUUAAUUCGGAUUCGGCAAAAAUUCGGUACGGAUAUAAUUCGAAUAAAAUUCGUCUUUUAAUUUUAAAAUUUGUUGAAAAAUACGGCUAAAAAACGGAUUCGCCAAUUAUUCGGAUACGUGAUUUAUACAGAUUUUAUACGUUCACCAAUCAAAAAUUCGGCUAUUGAAUUAAAUUUUUUUCUCUCAAGAUUUAUCCUAUUAACAUAAAUACUCAUAUUUUUUAAAAAUAUAAGAAUAAAAAGCUACAAAAUUAAGCUAAUUAAAUAAAAAAAUAUAUCAGACUAUAUUAUGCCUUAAAUAAAUAAAUAAUUAAGUAAAUAAAAGAUUAGAAUAAUUUAUAAAAGAUUAAAUUUUUUUGAUUAUUUUUAGAAGAUAGGAGGGUGAAUGAUUGGAAAGGUUUUUUUUUUUACUUACUCGUGUGCGUCCGCAGGAAUCUUUUGGACGAGCCGAAAGUCUCGCGAGUGAGCGCGAGCCACAGCGCUCACGCGAGAGCCGGGGCGAGCGCGAGCCGCGGCUCGCGUGCGAGAGCGGGGCCGCGCGCGUGAGCGAGCACUGGCUCUCGCGUGCGCGCGCGAGAGCAGGCGCGCGCGCAGCGCGGGCACCGUGGGCCGUUUUUUGGGACUGUGGGCGCGGGCACGGUGGGUCUGUGGGCCGUUUUUUCGGCCGAAUUAUUCGUGAUUCGGGAAUAAUCGCGAAUAAUUCGUGAAUAAUUAUUUUUAGCCAAAAAUUCGCAUUUUUUUUUCGAAUAUUUUGAAAAAAUACUUUUACGGCCUUUUAAUUCGGUUUUUCAAAAAUUCGUGAAUAAUUCGCGAAUAAUUCGCGAAUUUACUAACUAUGGUUUAAAGUGUAUCCACAUUCUUACUUUAGUACCCUGUGGUUUAAAGUGUAUCAAGUUAGUACCCUGUGGUUUCGCACUUUCUCACUUUAGUACCAUGUGCUUUAAUAUUUCAUUCGGAGAAAAAUAAAACCACAGGGUAUUAACUUGAUACAAAAAUAAAACUAUAGGGUAUUAACUUGGUACAAAAAUAAAACCACAUAAUACUAAUUUGAUACACUUGAAACUAUAGGGUACUAAAGUGAGAAAGUGCGAAACCACAGGUAGACCUGGCAAACGGGCGGGUUGGGUAACCCGCGGGCAGGUCAUUGUACCCGUGGGUUACUUGGGCAUGACUAAAAUUACCCGCAAAUUUUUGGGUAGCCAACAUCAUUAUCCAUACCUACCAGCGGGUGGGCGGGUGGGUACUCGCGUUACCCGUAUUUUUUUUUCUUUUUUUCUCUUAUAUUUUUUAAAUGCAAAAUACAUAUACGUAAAUUUUAAAAAUAUGACAUAACUCAUUAUUUAAAAUAUCAUAACAUGCAGUAAAAAUAUUUAAAGUCUUAGAGCUUAAAAAUUUCGUAAUAUAAAAGACGUGAUAAAAAAUUAUAGUUAGAAUUUAUAGAAUGGAUAAAUAAAAAUAUAUAUAUUUUAAUUAAGAAAAUAUACUUUGUAAUUAAAAAAUAUAUGUGCGAGUACCCGCGGGUUACCCAAAAUACCCACAGCUUAAUGGGUACCUAUUCGUUUUAUUCGUAAUUUUUUGGGUUGAAAAAGUUGGUAUCCAUACCCGCAAAUUUGCGGGUAACCCGCGGGCACCUGCGGGUAUGGGUCGAGAUUACCAGGUCUAACCACAGGAUACUAACUUGAUACACUUUAAAUCACAGGGUACUAAAAUGAAAAAAUGCGAAACCACGGAUUUUUUUUUGAAGUUUUCCCUCUCAAGUUCUCUCUUUUCCUGGGUUUUGAUCAUGUUAUUUCGCUGCAAGGUUUUGCAAUAGUCUUUCCUGUUAAUUAAAAAUGCUUUGAAAAGCGAAAAUGUGAUGAGAAAAUUUUUAAGUCAGAUUCUACUAAAGCUUAGUUUGGCAUUGAGACCUAUCAAAUGUUAUUAGAUAAAAUGGAGUUGAGGAAAAAAUAUAUAGGAAUAUGCUUUUGCGUUCUCCGGUGGGACCGCAGAGAAUAUAUCGUAAUCGACUCAUCGCGAUAUGCGGAACGUAAUAUUUUGUAUGAAAACAAACAGGAUAUUUUUCCAAUGUACUUUCUUUCACCGUAUGUAACGCAAUCUCUCCACAAUUCCAAACGAAGCCUAAUUCGGUUAAAUUUUGGCUCGUUUAUUUGUCGUCGCUAGUUUUAAAAUUUAAAAUUUAUUAUAUAAACAAUUAAUUUUUGAUAGCCAACCACGCAUCGUCAUUUUUGUUUCAAAGCUUUUUGUUAUGUGAGUCGCAAUAUAGACUCUCUCUUUGGAUGCAUGGAUAUUUUGUUCGGCAUAUUUCUUUGAGUUCGUCUUUAAAUUAUUUGUUCAUGGCUAGUGAAUUAUGCUAUUUAAUAAAUUACAAAAAUUAAGACCUCUUAAGGGGCAAAAUUUAAAUUCUUUACUUUUUAGUCACAUAAGAGAAUCUUAUCGCGAAUAAGUUUUUAUUGUAUAACUUAUUUCGAUAUCUAAAAAGGUUCUAAAGUUGGAUUUGUGACAAAUAAUCUAAGCUUAAAUUCAUGGCAUUUAAAAAAAUUGAUGGAAGCAAAGUAUUUUCUCAUGUUGUGUUAUUAGAUAAAUUAUUUCGACAUUCAAACAAGACCUACAAAUAAAAAGACAUGCAGAAUUUGGUAAAUGAAUAUCGCGAACAAAUGUUUUGGAAUGAACAUUCAAAUUAAUUUUUGGGUAUGAGAUAAGGCUAUGCUCGGAUGUUUGAAUAUUUUAUUUGGCAUAUUUAUUUAAUUUACAUAAGAAUCAUUCUUGAAAUGUGAUGGAAUAUUUAGAAUGCUAUUUUAUUUUUUAGUCUCAAAUAUAUUUAUUAUUCUAUUAAUUAUAGAUGUCGAGAUCUUUUAAGCAGCAAAGACUAAAUUCUUAUUUUUAAUAAUACCAAAAAAUUGUGAUUCCAAAUAAGAUUGUUAUUAAAUAUCUUUAUUUUGAUAAUAGGAGGGUUAUGCUUGCUCGCUUUCCCUUCGCCCUAGGCUCUAGCCUCUAUAUAUUCUAGUUGAUUCAUAUUUCUAGUUAAAUUUAUUUCUAAAUGAAAUAAAUAAAGCGGGUAGCGUGCUACCUAUCUCUCUCAAAAAAAAAGAAAAAAAAAUCGAUAUAAGAAAAUACAUUCUAAGUUAUUAGCUGGAGAGGCGCUGAUCGUAAUAAUUAUAUCUUAUAUAGGGAAAACUUCAAAUACCCCCCUAUGGUUUCACUUUUUCUCACUUUAGUACUCUGUGGUUUAAAGUGUAUCAAGUUCAUUAGUACUAUGUGGUUUUGCACUUUUUCACUUUGGUACCCUAUGUUUUAAAGUGUAUCAAGUUAAUAUUCUGUGGUUUCGCACUUUCUCACUUUAGUACCAUGUGGUUUAAAAACCACAGAAUACUUACUUGAUACAAAAAUAAAACUAUAGAAUACUAACUUGAUACAAAAAUAAACCACAGAGUACUAACUUGAUAUAUUUUAAACUAUAAGGUACUAAAGUGACAAAGUGCGAAACCACAGGAUAUUAACUUAAUACACUUUAAACCACAAGGUACUUAAAUAAAAAAAGUACGAAACCACAUGAGUUGAGUUUUAGAAGUUUUCCCAAAGAUAUAUAUUCAAAUUCAAAUUAUUUUAUUAUUAUAUGGUUGAAACCUACCAAGAUAUUUGUCCACGUGGCCUGUUCGCAUCCAAAUCACCAACCACACCUACCGCGUAAAACCGUACUUGGGCUUAUCUCAUUUUACUUGACAAAGACAAUGUGAUUGGUUUGCUCACUCAAUAUCUAUCUACUAAUCAUAAUUAACGGGUUAAAUCACAAAGAUAUUAAACAAAUUACUUGCAUCGUAAUCCUACUUAAAUAUUAUGCUUUAAAAUUCCCGGUACAUUAUCCAUUAAGCAAAGUUAAGUGGUGGUCAAAUCAAAGAAUAAUAAGAGAAUCUAUUAUACCGUAGUCCCGUUUACACCGCUUUAAAAGUCGCGACGUUGCCUUAUUUGUUUGCAAACAGCUGGAAUUUAUAACGUUUCUAUUUCCCACAUUUUGCAUCCGUCUUUUAGAGUGCAUUUGGUUCGAGUUAUAUAAUAUUAAAGAGCACCUCGACAUAUCCAGGUAUUUUAGAUUUCUGCGUGAGAUUACUAUUAAUGCUGUAUUAGCGCGUUUAGUUUAAUACAGUAAUAUAAUAUUAGAUUGUAGUGUUUAUAUCAUUAUUACAUUUGGUUCAGUCUAUAAAAUUUAGUAUACUGACAUAAAAGUAUAGUUUUUUUUUAAAAUUACCCUUGUUGUGGUCAUUUGAAUAUUAAUUAACGAGAGAAAAUAUAAAUAAAAAACUAAAAUAAAAAUUAAAAGAUAAUAAAUUAAAUAAAAAAAUUAUCAUUUACACACAACAAAUUAAACUAGGCUUUUUUAUUUUUAGGCUAACACAUGAUUAAUGAUUAAUUAGAGCACAAAAAUAUAUGAAAUUUUUCCUAACAUUCCCAAAUCAGAUUCAGAAAAAAAGAAAUAGAAAAAAAAAAAGACACUGUUAAUAGAAAAAAAAAAAAAAGACGUGCGAGAGAGAGAGAGAGAGAAAGAGAUAGAGAGAGAGAGACAGAGCAGCGUGCCAGAGAGAGAGAGAGAGCGAGAUAGCGGCGUGCGAGAGCGAGGGCAGCGCGUGGGAGAGAGAUUAAAACAAUACUGUUAAUUGGGUUUGGGAGUGUUGGAGGGUAAAAUUGUUAUUUUACAUAAUUUAUAGUAUUACCGAUUUUCAGUAAUCCAAGAUACACGACCCCCUUUCGUUAAUAUUUUCGGUGUAAUCCUGCUCGAUUUGUAAUGCUACAUUACAUAGCGGAUGAACCAAAUACAGUAAUCCUGGAAGGAUAACUCUGAACCAAACGCACCCUUAUAGGUAUCAUCAUUUGGUCCAGAAAAAUUUUAUAUAUAUAUAUAUAUAUAUUUUUACUUAAAAAUAUAUAGCACUUAUCUGACGAACGAAUUAUUUGAAUCGACUACCUAACUUUUUAAAAUUUUAAGUUUGUUAGCCAACCUUUCAACUUGUUUUAUUUGAAUUAGUCAACAGCGCUUUGACUUUAAAAUUUAAAUGAUGCUGUUAAUUUUUAUAAAUUUAAUUAGUAUAUUUCUUAUAAUUCUUGCAAUUAUAAAUUUAUUAAAGUAAGUAAUUUGCUUAAAUUUUAAAGUUAAAAUAUCGUUGACCGACUCUGAUCAAACAAAUUGAACGAUUGGAUAGUUAAAUCAAAAUUUCGAAAUGUUGCACAGCUGAUUCAAAAUGGUUCACAAUGGAAGUAAGUUUUAUGCGUUUUUACCUUAUUUCUAAUUUCUAUUAUAGAUACAAUUUAUGGGAUAAAUAAAAACUAAACUAAUUUUGUGUUUGAAAAAGAAUGUUUGGAUGGUUUGGCUAAUACAGUAAAGCUUUGGUAUUGAGGUCUAUUUAACGCUGUUAGAUAAAAUGGAGUUAGAAAAAAAACAUAUAGGGAUAUACUUUUGCGUUCUCCGAUGGGACCGCAGAAAAUAUAUUAUAACCGACUAAUCGCAAUAUGCGGAACGUAAUAUUACGUACAGAAACAAACAUGAUAUUUUUCUAUCGUACUUUUUCACCUCAUGUAACCCAAUCUCCGCAAUCCCAAACAAAUUAUUAGAAUUUUAAACCAACAAUAUUUUAUCUAGUUAACAAACAUUAAAUAA